rnacentral:rRNA from 1 species
GACGAACGCUGGCGGCGUGCCUAAUACAUGCAAGUCGAGCGGAAGUUGAAGAGCUUGCUCUUCAACUUUAGCGGCGGACGGGUGAGUAACACGUGGGCAACCUGCCCUGCAGAUCGGGAUAACUCCGGGAAACCGGUGCUAAUACCGAAUAGUUUUCGCCACCUCCUGGUGGCGUACGGAAAGACGGUUUCGGCUGUCACUGCAGGAUUGGCCCGCGGCGCAUUAGCUAGUUGGUGGGGUAACGGCCCACCAAGGCGACGAUGCGUAGCCGACCUGAGAGGGUGAUCGGCCACACUGGGACUGAGACACGGCCCAGACUCCUACGGGAGGCAGCAGUAGGGAAUCUUCCGCAAUGGACGAAAGUCUGACGGAGCAACGCCGCGUGAGUGACGAAGGUUUUCGGAUCGUAAAACUCUGUUGUGAGGGAAGAACAAGUACCAACUAACUACUGGUACCUUGACGGUACCUCACCAGAAAGCCACGGCUAACUACGUGCCAGCCGCCGCGGUAA